CAACAACCGUUGGGGUGCCCGAUUCAGGGCUGAGAGGCGCACUGUGCCGACCCAUGGAACCUGAUCCGGGCAAUACCGGCGUAGGGAACGGUCAUCGUGGCAAU
rnacentral:ncRNA from 2 species